rnacentral:rRNA from 1 species
GAUGAACGCUAGCUACAGGCUUAACACAUGCAAGUCGAACGAGCGAGAGAGAGCUUGCUUUCUCGAGCGAGUGGCGAACGGGUGAGUAACGCGUGAGGAACCUGCCUCAAAGAGGGGGACAACAGUUGGAAACGACUGCUAAUACCGCAUAAGCCCACGACCCGACAUCGGGUUGAGGGAAAAGGAGUGAUCCGCUUUGAGAUGGCCUCGCGUCCGAUUAGCUAGUUGGUGAGGUAAUGGCCCACCAAGGCAACGAUCGGUAGCCGGACUGAGAGGUUGAACGGCCACAUUGGGACUGAGACACGGCCCAGACUCCUACGGGAGGCAGCAGUGGGGAAUCUUCCGCAAUGGGCGAAAGCCUGACGGAGCAACGCCGCGUGAGUGAUGACGGCCUCGG